GACCGGCCUAGUUGAAGUCUGGCUGAAUGGCCCAACAGACUUCCUUACCUGAUCCAGCCUUGGGGCUGGAUCCAAUGGCCGAGUAAGCCUCAAGCCCAAUCCGGUUAGGCCAAACGGCCGAUCGGACCUUGCGACUCUUACCCUGACUUAGACGAACCGUGUACUUGUCCCAACAGACAAGACAUGGUCUGAUCUCUUAAGGAACGGACACGACCUGUCUCAACAGGCACCGUUUGGAACAUGCACCCCUCUUGGUCCUCGUACCUCUUAGUCCUCGAACCUCUUGGUCCUCGUACCUCUUGAUGUUCGUAACCCUUGGUUAUUUACAUCCUUUGGCAACUCACAACCUUUGGAACUCGUGACCUUUGGUAACUCACAACCCUUGGUAACUCGUGACCUUUGGCCACU
rnacentral:lncRNA from 1 species